GGGGUCGAUUUUGGUUUCGACUGCGUACAUUACGCCAGGGGAAGCGUGCCGGUGCAGGCUAGAGACCACCGUAAGCGUCGUAGCACAUUGAUAAGCGCCGAGAACACUCAGCGCGACUACGCCCUCGCUGCCUAAUAAAGAAUAGUCAGCGACCUGCGUGUCUGUCAGACCAGGGCCGUCCCUGACCUGGAUUCUGGCAUCGACUAAGGGACUUUACCGAUUCAUCGGGUCAACGAGGUGAAUUGGGACAGUUUUCGUUGACUGUGGCUCAUCAUCCGGGAGUGUUCGUCCAAGCCGGAGAGUCAGAGUAAAAGAUCCAUUGCGCGAACUGCGCACGGAGAAGCCCUGGCAAGAUGACGUAGGACCCGGGUUCAAUUCCCGGCGGCUCCACUG
rfam:Corynebacterium mustelae strain DSM 45274, complete genome.